AUUGAACGCUGGCGGCAGGCCUAACACAUGCAAGUCGAACGGUAACAGGAAGCAGCUUGCUGCUUUGCUGACGAGUGGCGGACGGGUGAGUAAUGUCUGGGAAACUGCCUGAUGGAGGGGGAUAACUACUGGAAACGGUAGCUAAUACCGCAUAACGUCGCAAGACCAAAGAGGGGGACCUUCGGGCCUCUUGCCAUCGGAUGUGCCCAGAUGGGAUUAGCUAGUAGGUGGGGUAACGGCUCACCUAGGCGACGAUCCCUAGCUGGUCUGAGAGGAUGACCAGCCACACUGGAACUGAGACACGGUCCAGACUCCUACGGGAGGCAGCAGUGGGGAAUAUUGCACAAUGGGCGCAAGCCUGAUGCAGCCAUGCCGCGUGUAUGAAGAAGGCCUUCGGGUUGUAAAGUACUUUCAGCGGGGAGGAAGGCGAUAAGGUUAAUAACCUUGUCGAUUGACGUUACCCCGCAGAAGAAGCACCGCUAACUCCCA
rnacentral:rRNA from 1 species